rnacentral:rRNA from 1 species
UACGUAGGGGUGCGAGCGUUUGUCCGGAAUUAUUGGGCGUAAAGAGCUCGUAGGCGGUUUGUCGCGUCGGCCGUGAAAACUUGGGGCUUAACUCCAAGCUUGCGGUCGAUACGGGCAGACUUGAGUUCGGCAGGGGAGACUGGAAUUCCUGGUGUAGCGGUGAAAUGCGUAGAUAUCUGGAGGAACACCGGUGGCGAAGGCGGCAUCCUGGACCAAUAUUGACGCUGAGGAGCGAAAGCCAGGGGAGCAAACGGG